GAACUGGAGAGUUUGAUUCUGGCUCAGAUUGAACGCUGGCGGCGUGCUUAACACAUGCAAGUCGAACGCGAAAGGGGCUUCGGCCCCGAGUAGAGUGGCGCACGGGUG
rnacentral:rRNA from 1 species